rnacentral:lncRNA from 1 species
UUGGGCUCAAGUGAUCCUCCUGCCUCGGUCUCCCAAAGUACUGGGAUUAAAGGCAUGAGCUACUACAUCCAGCCAAAAGCUACAUUUUCAAGACUAGAUAAAAAGGCUACAAGGUUCAUCUGCAAGUUUCUUCAAAUGGUUGCAAUGCUUAGUGCAACCUCCAUCUCCUAGGCUCCAGUGAUCCUCCUGCCUCAGCCUCCCAAAGUGCUGGGAUUACAAGCAUGAGCUACUACAUCUGUCCAAAAGCUGCAUUUCCAAGACCAGGUUUUGGCAGUUACAGGUUGCAGGGUUCUCUGGGCCCAUCCAGGAGAUGAGAGAAAAAGAAAACUCAGGGCCUUGUACAGCGUCACCCCCAAAGUCCCGAGGUUCCUGGACAGCCUUUCUUCCUCUACACUUCCUAGAGUCCUCUUAUGUCUGUUAAAUUUUUUCCAGGGUGUCUAGUUGUAUUU